rnacentral:misc_RNA from 1 species
GGUAUCAUUUAUUGUUAGAGGGGGCUCUGAUUAGAACCACACGAAGGAGCUUCCGUUAGUUUGUCCUGUACGACUGGGUCAAAUUGUCUUUUAGAAAUCUGAAUUUAUAGCAAUCUUUUAAAAUUGAAUACUCUGAUCUGUUUUAAGAACUGCCUACCAUUACCACCAGGAGACGAUACAGCAACGGAAUUGUGACUUUGUUGAUUGUUUUAACUAUUUACAGAUCGUAAGUAUUAGUUGCUGGUGUGUUGUGGCAUAUUUUGUAAAUCUGAUCUGGCUCAAGGUGUGAAGACAACUCGUACUUCCCGUUGGUGUCUCGGAAGUAGUUCUGAUUGUGAAGACAGUGAAGAGUAACAACGAAAUGACGUCUUUUGGAUUGAAAUUCGUUAUUUUGUUUUUGUGUGUCGUCUGCGUGUUGGGCUUUCUGCCUAACAGGUUCAACCUUCCGUCGUCUGACUUCACCCACCAGGACAUCACAGAGGCCGCCAUCUUGAGCGCUGUGGCGGAUUUUUGUCAGGAUUCGAUACCUAUUGGAAAAUUCGGUAGAAGCAGGGAUGUCGACAGCAGCAAACAACUAACAGCCAAGAAACUGUCUCAGGAGUAUUGUGGAGGAACUGUUUCUGAGAAGCGGUUCCAGGAGGCCAUCGAUGACAUCGUGAAGGCCAACAACAGAGUGGACCAGGACCACUACUCCGAGGCUGCCUGGCACGUCAACGGGGAGGCCAUCAAAGAAGCAAAUGAGAAGAUGAUGCUGUUACGGGAAGCAUCAGUAGAUGAACUAAACAAGUCCAUGCCAGACUAUGCCUUAGCUCGACAUCUGAUUGGUCAGUUUCUUCACGUUGUCCAGAUGUUCUACAGCAAUACCAACUGGCCGGAAAUGAAGGGAUCUGCUGUAUAUGACGCCUUAGGUAUUCGCGGUGAACCUCUGAUGGACCAGGCGCCAUUCUCUAUGGACACGUGCAGAUCAUGCAGGUCACUCACAGAUACCCUGUGUAUCGGUAACUUAUUGGUUGAUGGACAUCUGACCAGCGGCUACCGAAGUGGUCAGGACAGAAGGAAACCUGAAAGAAAUCCAAGUCUUCACCAGACUGGCAAAUGUAGUCACGGCGGCCCCCACGACACAUCCAGCACGACGUCUGCUGCAACUGGCGGCAUCAACAAGGACAGCAGCGACCCCAGCCUAUCCCCCCACUACUACCUCCACCAACAGGCGGCAGAGGGAGCUAUACGACACACCACGGCGUUCUUCAUUCACCCAGUAUAUGGAUUACGACAUCUGAUCGGAGACGGGAAAUUUGGUGAGCUUUUACAGUUACCACUUUCGGCCUCUAUAGGAUUCGUGGUCCAUGCUGGCGACUCCCUGGGCAUUGCAACAGCACGGGAAAGUGUCACGAGAAUAAUGUCUGCUACUGAAGGGCGUCAUUAUGUGGUAGUCAGCCAAGAUGACUCAGACAGCACCGAUGUUAUCACGUCCCAGGACGGGAAUCGUGUUCUCCAGUAUUUGACAACCCUGGAACCCAACACCAGCAGACCGUGUCCCAGUUUAGCCUUAACUACUUUAGAGACUGCUGCCGGUUUGAUGGACCAAGGCUCGAAGAUAUAUGUCUUGACCAACAUGAAGCCAGGAGACCUGGACAGAUGGGGUCACGUGUCUGCGUUGUUGACCAGAAUGAAGCUGAGCGUGGAGUUUGUUCUGACCAGGAGCUGUGUAAAUACAUCACAGAAACAUACAGGACCUUCCCGGACGAGGCGAUCUGCAGGCGCUGACCUGUACGCUGGUCUAGCAUCAGCUUCAGGAGGAUCCGUCUACACCACAGAUAAAUCCGGCGUUGGAAAAAUGUCAGAUAUUAUCAAGGAAUCUGCGACAACAUCCGGCGCGACUAUUCUCAAGAUGGCAGUUGAUAUAACGGCUGGGAAGUCGAUUCCCAUUCCCAUUGAUAACACUAUCCGAGAGGUGACUAUCAAGAUCAUAGCAGACGCCGGCCUCAGGGGGGGGAACCCGUCAACUCCCUGUCUGACCCACACGGUAACGUUAUCCCCAUGGCAACUGUUGGAAAUGUAACCAUCAAAGAUCUUGGAGGCGGAGUUCGAUUUAUCAAGAUAAAGUCCCCCCUGCCCGGAUUAUGGCAUCUGACGAAGAAGGACAGUUACCAUUGGGACCUGGAGGUGACCGCCCAGAGCACCAUCGACUUCAGCACCAAGUUUGUACAGACAAACCCCUUGAACGGAUUCCAGUAUGAGAUUACAGGAAGACCUAUUGCAGGUGACAAGGCUACUGUUAUUAUAACCGUACCGUCGAUAGACAAGAUAGGGGGAAUAGCCAAGGUUAUUCUCACAGACAGUAAAGGUGCAGAACUAGAGUCAUCUUCCUUGACUCAGGGUAGAGGUCGGGC